AUGCCUUUACCAACAGUUUACUACUGAACUCCAGUUUCCCCUCCUGUACCUACAAUCCUACCUACCCAGGGUUUCCAUUCCCCGACGGCACUCCAGGCGUGCCAGUGAUACCACCCACCGCCAAGGUCGGCGACCAUUAACCACCUAUCGACCCCUAUUGGGCCACACACGCACACUAUUUUCAAUCAUUUUUGUCACCAACAUCAGCGACCAUUAUUCACCUACCGACCCCUAUCGGGCAACAUACACACACUCUAAUCAUUCUCUCCCGUCACCACCAUCGGCGACCGUUAGCCAUCUAUCGACUUAUACCAGGCCACUCACACACACCCUGAUCAUUCUCUCUCGUCACCUAUAUCAGCGACCACUAGCCAUCUCUCGACCCAUACCAGGCCACGUACGCACACCAUUUUCAUUCACUUGUGUCACCAACAUCGACGACCAUUAGCCAUCUCUCGACCAAUACCAGACCACUCACACACACUCUGAUCAUUCUCUCCCGUCACCGAUAUCGGCGACCACUAACCAUCCCUUGACCCAUACCAGGCCACGUACGCACACCAUUUUCAUUCACUUGUGUCACCAACAUCGACGACCAUUAGCCAUCUCUCGACCUAUACCAGGCCACUCACACACACUCUGAUCAUUCUCUCCCGUCACCGAUAUCGGCGACCACUAACAAUCUCUCGACCUAUACCAGGCCACGCACGCACACCAUUUUCAUUCACUUGCGUCACCAACAUCGGCAACCAUCGGACACCUAUCGACCCCCAUCGGGCCACACACACACACACUACUCAUUCUCUCCCACUGCCUCUCUCCGCUCGCUACCUGCGACAUGUCCUAGGUGCCCCUACUCACACCGUCCUUCUCCCCCAAGGCUCCAGCUACCCCACUCCACUCCCUCAAGCAUCUCACUCACCCGGCAGACCCUUCCUUUCCCUAGCAUUCACUCACUGCCUCUCCCUAUCUCUCGCUCGGACUACAUCUUCCCGCCACACCAUCUUUCUCACCUCACUCACCCCGCGGAUCCUUUCCUUCCCCAGUGUUCACCCACUGCCUCUCCCUAUCUCUCUCUCGGACUACGUCCUCACGCCACAACAUCUUCCUAUCUCCUCCCGAGUUACUCACACCACGCUUUCCCUCUCCCACAGCUCACUAACCUCAUACCUCUUCCUCUCUCUUCCCGCGUUGCUCAUACAACCUGCUCACUCUCACACAAUUCACACACAUCUUUCUCUCUUUCCCCGCGUUGCUCACAUAACUCGUUCCCUCUCACACCGCUCACUAACCUCACACAUCUUCCUCUCUCCUCCCGCGUUGCUCACAUAACCCGCUAUAUCUCACACAGUUCACACACCUCUUUCUCUCUCCUGACCUCCACUCACUCCAUACUCCUAUCUCUCUCCUGACCUCCGCCCGUGCCGGCACCUUCUCCCUCUCUCUUCCCGUGAUUCUCAUACGGCCAAUUUCCUUCCACCCGCCUUGCUACACAUACUCACCCUACAUGGCCUCCUUCGUACACCGCUACUUCCGUAAGCCGUGACCACGCACGCCACAUAUCCAAACAUUUCAAACUCAAAUCAACACACGUAUUUGAAGUUUGUUAUCGUACCUCCCAUUUCUAUCUUCCUUCUUUUGGCCGAAUGUGCUAUCACCGUCCGCGAUCUCCUCUUCUCUCCGCUCCGCUUCCUUUCUCUCUCCUUAUAGAACCUUCCUUCCUCUCCUUUUUCUCUUUCCCGCUCCCCUUCUUCCUCUGUUCUUUUCCCCCCUUUUUUUUUUUUCUUUUUCUUUCUCCUCCUUCCUUCCCUCGCCUCCUACUUAUAUCAUCCUAAUUUUUUCUCAAAACGGCGUCGUUUUCCCCCUUGCAAAACGAUAUCGUUUUUCUCUUUCCAAAACGACAUCGUUUUCUCCCCUGUAUAAAACUAAGUCGUUUUCCCUUCCCUCUCUCUCCUUUUUUUUUCCAGUUAUUACAAUAUAUAUAUACAUAUAACAUAUACUGAACACGCGGCUUAGCUGGAACUUACGCCGGCGUAGAAAACUAAUUAAUUGUUGGGAAUUAUAUAUAUAUAUAUAUAUAUAUAUAUAUAUAUUAACGAAUUGAUUUGUUGGUAGAGCCCACAAUUGCAAGCUAUAUCUAUAGGUUUGAUGGUGAAGGCGUUGUUCGGCAGUUCUCGACUAGAAUUGGAUUGCCAUGAACGAAUCCCUCAGGCCCACGGAGCUAUGGUGGGCUCCGUUACAUAUUAUUCAGUUUUAUUAUUUUAUUCAUUUACACAUAAUAACUCAUUAAUUAAAUUACAAAAAAAAAUUAAUUUCAUAAAUAACAAAUAUAAUAAUUAAGUUAAAAUUGAAAACAAAAGUAAACUAAUAAAUUCAUAAAGUGAUGCGAAAUUUAUAUUUUUUUGAUAAAAUAUAAACUCGUAACAUUCAAAUAAAAUAUAACAAACUAUAUUAUUAGAAAAUCUUAUUCUUGGUCAAAUUUAUUCAUCUUUUAAUAUUGAAAUUAAGGCCGUUCAAAGUUGAAAUUAAAAAUUAAAUAAAUUAAGCCUCUAAACCUACUGAAUCAAGUAUUAUACAUUGGUUUAUAGAUUGGUCGCAUAUAAUUCAUAAUAAAUUCAAAAAAUAUCAAGUUUUACGUUUUUAAUAAGAUUUAAAUUCGUGACAUUCAAAUAGAAUAUAAAAAAUGUUAUCAUUAAAAAAUUACGUUCUUCGUUAAAUUUAUUUAAUCUUUUAAGGUUGAAAUUUAUGUGGGUUAACGUUGAAAUUGAAAACCGAAAUGAAUUAAGUAGACUAAGUCUCUGAUCAUAUCAUAUUAAGUGUUUCUAGAUCGGCGUUAUGGUUAAUCCAUAAUAAGUUCUCGUAACUUUUAAGUAGACACAAGAAUUUUGUGAUUAGAGAACAUAAAAUUUAUUUAUUUAUUUAUUAAGAUUUUGCAUGUUUAACAUAAAUUCUUGAAAAGGAAAGAUCCGCAAUUCCUUCAACUCUCCUAAUCAUGGAAAAUGAAAGAUAAAAACUUGAGGAAGCAACUUCGUUCUACAAUGGAAAAAACAAGUCAAAGGCCUCAAGUCUGGGUCCGACUCUCACCGGGGCUGAAAUUUGGUGCUCGAACCUUACGGGGCCGUGAAGAAUGAGCUCCGACCGCUCGAUGUCCCGGACCACCUUCGCUGGGACCCUCCUUUGCGAUCUCAUACAACAUUCUGAGACGGUUGGCUGCGGAGGAAUACGUCGGUGACGGCUUCAUCGGCGAGGCUGAUCGAGCCUGAGUUCCGGAGACAAUGAAGCUAAAUAUGAAGAGAAAGAGGAGGAGAAGAAGAAGAAGAAGAAGACGAGGGGGAGCUGUGACGGGGCUUGCUUCUCUUGCCAUUUUCGUUGCUGGUGUUACAGGGUGCAGAAUAGAAGAGAUGGUGGCCGCUUAAAUAAUUUGCAUGUGCAUGGAGAGAAGUUAAAACAUGAUUAGCAAAUCUUAGUUAGUAAUUAAUCAUAAUCUGGCUUCUUUUGGAUAAAAUUAAUUACAGUUGAUUAUUUUUAUAAUCACUCUUAUGUAAUUAAUUUACCCAAAAAUCAAGGGAUAUCCAAAAUAAUUAAAUAUGUAUCUACCCUUAUGGUUUGAUAUGAUUUUUAAUACCAUAUUAUUUAUUUUUUAAAAAAAUCUAAAUCUACAAUUAUGUUUAGAAUAAUUUACAGAUUAUGAAAAUCUAUUUAUACAUUCUAUAUUAGGUGUAGAUUGUAUUAUAAUAAUAGAAAUUUUAAGUGUGUACAUAAAUUUUGGAUUUUUAUGGUGAAUUUUCAAAAAAAUAAAAUAAAAUAAUACACUAUUUAAAUCCUUUUAAAUCGAUAAUUAGUUUAAUUAAAUAUGAACUUAAUUUAUAUCAUUUUAUUAGAUUCAUAAAUAAUUUUUUUUUAUAUAAAUUUUGUAUUAUUUUUAAAGAUAAUUUAAAUGAUUUAAAAAUGCAAACACUAUAAUAUAUAUAUUUUUUUGCUUAUUUAAAAGUGUAAGUAUCUCAUUAGAUAUAACUAUAUUUUAUUAAUUCUCAUUUAUUAUUAAUUUUUAUUUGUUACUAUGUUAAUUUAUGUAAUAAUUUAUAAAAAUUCUUCGUUAUUUAAAAGAUAAAAUAACACGACUUUAUAUUUUAUACAAAAUUAUAAAUUUAAAUUAUAAAAUAAUAAUAAUUAAUUAUAAUACAUAUUUCCGUCAAACUGAUAAUUUAUUUAUGAAAUUAAAAUAAUAAAUUCAAAUAAAUUUUAAUUAUUUUAUUAUAUUUACGAGUAAAAUAAAUAUUUUUUUAAAAAUCACAAUUAAUAUAUUAUAUUUUUUAAUAAAAUAAAUCUUACUAGAAAAUUACAUUUUAUUAGUUAUAUUAACUACACUGAAUUAAAAAAUCAAUUCAACAUUUUAAAUCAAUCAAGUCUCCAUUUUAUUAAUUUUAUUAUUUUUUAAAAACAUGUUAUUAACUAUAUGCUUUUUAAUUAAAUUAUAAAUUUCUUUUGGUGGGGAAUUAUAUAUAUAUAUAUGUGUGUGUGACGCAAGUUGUACGUAAUUAACAAAGCAACCAAUUUUAUAAAUAAUCGGUCAUGCACAAGGAAAUACUAGCACAAUCCUUCAUUCAAUAAUCAAGAUAAACCUACAAUCAUGUACAAGACAUCGCACACAAUACAAUCAUACUCAAUAUCUAUGCUACCAUCAAUUUUAUACAUUCCAUUCGGUCAAGAAAAAAACGAAAAUUUUCAUCCUGUUACUCUACACACUAGGUUUAGAAUCCAACAACUUCGGUCCGGACUUCGUCCCUACAUCAUCUGUAAAAAUGAAAGAGUGAGUUCAUUUAACUCAGUACAGUAAAACUCAAAAUACAAGUGUGAAAUGCAACAAUAUAAAACCAUAUGCCUUUACCAACAGUUCACUACUGAACUCCAGUUUCCCCUCCUGUACCUACAAUCCUACCUACCCAGGGUUUCCAUUCCCUGACGGCACUCCAGGCGUGCCAGUGAUACCAUCCACCGCCAAGGUCGGCGACCAUUAACCACUUAUCGACCCCUAUUGGGCCACACACGCACACUAUUUUCAAUCAUUUUCGUCACCUUCAUCAGCGACUAUUAUUCACCUACCGACCCCUAUCGGGCAACAUACACACACUCUAAUCAUUCUCUCUCGUCACCACCAUCGGCGACCGUUAGCCAUCUAUCGACUUAUACCAGGCCACUCACACACACCCUGAUCAUUCUCUCUCGUCACCUAUAUCAGCGACCACUAGCCAUCUCUCGACCCAUACCAGGCCACGUACGCACACCAUUUUCAUUCACUUGUGUCACCAACAUCGACGACCAUUAGCCAUCUCUCGACCUAUACCAGGCCACUCACACACACUCUGAUCAUUCUCUUCCGUCACCGAUAUCGGCGACCACUAACCAUCUCUCGACCCAUACCAGACCACGUACGCACACCAUUUUCAUUCACUUGUGUCACCAACAUCGACGACCAUUAGCCAUCUCUCGACCUAUACCAGGCCACUCACACACACUCUGAUCAUUCUCUCCUGUCACCGAUAUCGGCGACCACUAACCAUCUCUCGACUUAUACCAGGCCACGCACGCACACCAUUUUCAUUCACUUGCAUCACCAACAUCGGCAACCAUCGUCCACCUAUCGACCCCCAUCGGGCCACACACACACACACUACUCAUUCUCUCCCAUUGCCUCUCUCCGCUCGCUACCUGCGACAUGUCCUAGGUGCCCCUACUCACACCGUCCUUCUCCCCCAAGGCUCCAGCUACCCCACUCCACUCCUUCAAGCAUCUCACUCACCCGGCGGACCCUUCCUUUCCCUAGCAUUCACUCACUGCCUCUCCCUAUCUCUCGCUCGGACUACAUCUUCCCGCCACACCAUCUUUCUCACCUCACUCACCCCGCGGAUCCUUCCCUUCCCCAGCGUUCACCCACUGCCUCUCCCUAUCUCUCUCUCGGACUACGUCCUCACGCCACAACAUCUUUCUAUCUCCUCCCGAGUUACUCACACCACCCUUUCCCUCUCCCACAGCUCACUAACCUCAUACCUCUUCCUCUCUCCUCCCGCGUUGCUCGUACAACCUGCUCACUCUCACACAAUUCACACACAUCUUUCUCUCUUUCCCCGCGUUGCUCACACAACUCGUUCCCUCUCACACCGCUCACUAACCUCACACAUCUUCCUCUCUCCUCCCACGUUGCUCACACAACCCGCUCUCUCUCACACAGUUCACACACCUCUUUCUCUCUCCUGACCUCCACUCACUCCACACUCCUAUCUCUCUCCCAACCUCCACCCGUGCCGGCACCUUCUCCCUCUCUCCUCCCGUGAUUCUCAUGCGGCCAAUUUCCUUCCACCCGCCUUGCUACACAUACUCACCCUACACGGCCUCCUCCGUACACCGCUACUUCCGUAAGCCGUGACCACGCACGCCGAAUAUCCAAACAUUUCAAACUCAAAUCAACACACGUAUUUGAAGUUUGUUAUCGUACCUCUCAUUUCUAUCUUCCUUUUUUCGGCCGAAUGCGCUAUCACCAUCCGCGAUCUCCUCUUCUCUCCGUUCCGCUUCCUUUCUCUCUCCUUCUGGAAACUUCCUUCAUCUCCCCUUCUAGAACCUUCCUUCAUCUCCUCUUUCUCUUUCCCGCUCCCCUUUUUCCUCUGUUCUUUUUCCCUUUUUUUUUUCUUUUUCUUUCUCCUCCUUCCUUCCCUCGCCCCCUACUUAUAUCAUCCCAAUUUUUUCUCAAAACGGCGUCGUUUUCCUCGUUGCAAAACGAUAUCGUUUUUCUCUUUCCAAAACGACAUCGUUUUCUCCCCUUUAUAAAACUAAGUCGUUU
rnacentral:lncRNA from 1 species